rnacentral:rRNA from 1 species
UAAAUAUUGGCGAGAGACCGAUAGCGAACAAGUACCGUGAGGGAAAGAUGAAAAGCACUUUGGAAAGAGAGUUAAACAGUACGUGAAAUUGCUGAAAGGGAAACGCUUGAAGUCAGUCGCGUUAGCUAGAACUCAACCAGGCUUGCUUGGCGUAUUUUCUAGUUAACGGGCCAGCAUCAGUUUUGACCGCAGGAAAAGGGCCAGGGAAAUGUGGCAUCUUCGGAUGUGUUAUAGUCUCUGGUCGUAUACUGUGAUUGGGACUGAGGACCGCAGCACGCGCAAGCUGUGCUUAGGAUGCUGGCGUAAUGGCUUUAAACGACCCGUC